rnacentral:rRNA from 1 species
AUUGAACGCUGGCGGCAGGCCUAACACAUGCAAGUCGAACGAGUGGCGGACGGGUGAGUAAUGUCUGGGAAACUGCCUGAUGGAGGGGGAUAACUACUGGAAACGGUAGCUAAUACCGAAUACAAUCGGAUGUGCCCAGAUGGGAUUAGCUAGUAGGUGGGGUAAAGGCUCACCUAGGCGACGAUCCCUAGUUGGACUGAGAGGAUGACCAGCCACACUGGAACGGAGACACGGUCCAGACUCCUACGUGAGGCACGAGUGGGGAAUAUAGCACAAUGGGCGCAAGCCUGAUGCGGCCAAGCCGCGUGUAUGAAGAAGGCCUUCGGGUUGUGAAGUACUUUCAGCGGGGAGGCGUUACCCGCAGAAGAAGCACCGGCUAACUCCGUGCCAGCCGCCGCGGUAAUUC